rnacentral:tRNA from 1 species
GCCUUCGUGGUGCAAUGAUCAACAUACUCGGCGCUUAUUCGAGAGGUCCGAGGUUCGAGUCCUAGUGAGGGCA